CGUGAGCGACAGCUGGUGGGUCAUUGCGCGUCCAUUUCAUCAAAAUACUAUUAUCUCUCUCUUUCUACAACUCGCAUAACAGCGUCGUGACCAAUCAACCCCGCUAUGACGUCAUGUAAGAGAGAGUUUUAGGGCGAGGUUUUUAUAGUUUUGCCCAGCAAAGAUAAACAGCGCAGUGGUAGAUUGUGUUUGUACUCCGCUGUUUUCAUGUUAUUUUCGUGUUUUGAGGAACAAUUCAUCAACAGCAGGAUGUGAGCUGCAGUCGUCCCUUCACGAUGUAGGAAUGAGAUGCCCAACCAUCCAGUCACCAUGGUAACAUCAAUGACGUAACUGUCGGUACUUCUUGAUCAUUCUCUGCCAAAUGAACAACCGACGUCUUCCCCCGUUACCCAUUAAGGGCAAGAGGGCGCUCACCCCUCGGGCGAAUCAGCGCUCACCCAGCUCACCACAGCCACUUCCGGUGCCAGAAAUGGUCAUUACAGGUUACAGCACUAUUCAAGGAUCUGGUAACCAUGG